AAAAAUUAUAAUAAUAAUUAUUAUAAUAUUAUUAUUAUAAAGAAAUUGAAAACUUAAACAUUCCUCCAUUCAUCAGUAUAGCGAAUACGGUUUACUCCCCAUUCUCAAAUCUCAACGUUAGCUCUCCAAAACCCUAAAUUCUCAUCAUUUUGACAGCCUAAUCUAGUGUUUCAUUGAAAUUUGUUCUUGAUUUCUUCGUUCAAAGUCACAAUUAUGUCGUCAACUGUUCUUCAUUACUUCUCUAGGGUUCACGACUAUUCAAUUUUGGUGUGUUGUUUUGGGUAAGUUUUGUAUUUUUGUUCUUGACACUGUCAUGUUGUGUGAUUGAGUGGGGAUUUUGUGAUUCAACAAGACCCAUAUCACAUUCACUUCAACCUCAGCAUUGAGAUGUGAAUGAGCUUUCCCUAUUUCAAUUCAAGGAGAUUCCAAGAGUAUUAGCUUGAAAUUCUUUAUGGAAGAACUGGUGAUCGUUUGGUGGAGUUCUCUGUUCUGCGGGUCAACAAGCUAAUGAAAUUUUCCAGGGAACUCAACCAAAGCUCUCCGGAAACAAGAUCAUGCUGACUAUUUUACUAGGUGACUUCUCUUAUGCCAUUAGAAAUAGGUGAAAACUACAUUACCAGUACCUUUUUGGAUUCAGAAACUUGCAUCACUCUUAGCUUGGUACCACUUCUCUCUGGAUGGACUUGUGAAUCAUAAUUUGCAAUAAUGAUCGAAAGAAAAACCAUUAUCAGCAGCCAGAACUAUGAGAAGCAAAGAAUGGAAGCAUUCAGCCUCUUACACCAGAUAAUAAUGUGUUCCUGCAGACAAAAAGCUAAUACAAAAUUUGUCCAGCUUUUUCCAUACUGCCACAAAACGGUAUAAUUCCUAUAUAAUUCAGAUGAUCUAAUUUCUGCCUUCAAACUGAUUAUUUCAACUAAUAUAGUAGUUGCGUAUUAUUACAAACUGGUGCAACCAGGAUAUUUAGAUAUGUGGUUGUAGUAUGUAGAGUUUAAAUUCUAUGAAUAAGUUGGAGGUAAGGUAUAUGUCCCCCUCCUUGUAUUUUGACAUGUUAAUGAAAUUUGCAUUGGGGUCUCUAAUGUUGGAACCUU